UCCAUUCGAAAGUAGUGCCUAUUUCUAAAGAGUUCCUUUUCUCUUCUUGAAUAUAAGCCAUUUAACAAUGUGAGACAUGACUUUUGUGGUUAUUUGUAAUAUCCUGUAUGUGUCUGGAGUACUUUGAUGCCUUGGAUUGGAAGCUAACUUAAAAGAUGAACUUUUGAGGGUGUGUUUUCUAUUGUGUGGGGCUUUUGUCGAAAUUAGGAUUCCGAAACACGAUUUUCUACGGUGGGUUCAUUCGACAGCGAUUUACUUUCUUAGAAGUUGCGAGACGGUAUGUUUUUGAUUGCAAUUAUUGGAAGAUGACAGAUCCAUCUUUAAAAUGAUACCAGGUUUGGAAAAAUUGAUACGUCGGAAAGGCAAGAAAAAUGCUGUGAAAGUUGUCAGUUUUAUAAUGGGACCCUAUGGGAAUCGGAAUUAGUGUAAUAUAACCUUUAAAAAGCACAUUUACUGCAAUGUCAAGGUCACAUGGAUUCGUCUGCAAGCGAGACAAGUAGAACAUGAAUUUUAAUUAAUGUUUUGAUGAUUUGGGUGCUAAAAUAGAUGAGAGGUGUCAAUAUUUUGGUCCAAAUGGAUGUUUUAGGUGGUUUUAGACGGUUCCGUAUGGGUGGGGGACCUGGUAUGGACAAGUAAGGGUAACAUUUCCAACAAAUCUUAAAUGUAAAUAUUAUUAUGUCCAUAGAUUGAAGUUUCAGGUGGAGAGCAAGAUGAAAAAUAUGCAAAAUUACAUGCAUGCAACCCAUUUAUGCCAUUUUUCUCUUUGUUUGUAGGCCUGACCGUUUGUCCUUGAGCCGUAGAUGGUCAACAAUCCGCUAGCUGUCUUGCUCUGACUGGUGCACUGGACAUGAUUUCAAUAGUCAGCCAGACCAUGAUUGAGCUUAAGGAUUGUGCUGCGGAUGCAGCCUGUGCAGUUCCGGGAGAAAGUCACUGUCUCGGGCAAUGCGGUCUGGUAUCAGGUCUGGAUGAUCCUUGCCUGACUGCGGGUUUGUGUACACCUCAAUCCGACUCUGUGUCCUGAACAGAGGCCGCAGUGGUGCAGCGCUUGUGGACGAUCCAUCAACAUCCUGAAAGGUCAACACUACACCAAGCUGGGAAAAUUGAUCCUGAUAGUCAUCCCCAGGUAGUGGAAUGAAUGUUCACUGAACUACAGAGGAAUCACACCCAAAUGACUUUCCUGCCACGACAUUAGUGUGGCCACUCGCGUAGGAAUUCCUUAGCAAACAUGCUCUUUUGCAUGGUGACUGUGGACAUUUUUGCAAAACUUAUGCUUUCAACACUGGAUUUUAAAGAGAAUACUUAAUAAAAUGUCGCUAACAGGACUUAUUUAUAUGAGAGAGACUAUCUGGAUGCGCAUUAAGUGUCACUUUGUGUCGUAAGCUGUUGAAGGAGCGAUUUGCGCCUUUUUAAGUGUUAAUUUUUAGUAGCCGGCUUGUAUCAGCUUGAAAGCUGAAAAUUAUGCCUCUCAUCAUAAAAGCAUUAAUUUUUGUAAUUGCAAUGUGUAUGUUUAGAUUGUAAGUGAAGCUUUUAAUAA